GUGACUGCGUACCUUUUGUAUAAUGGGUCAGCGACUUAUAUUCUGUAGCAAGGUUAACCGUAUAGGGGAGCCGGAGGGAAACCGAGUCUUAACCGGGCGUUAAGUUGCAGGGUAUAGACCCGAAACCCGGUGAUCUAGCCAUGGGCAGGUUGAAGGUUGGGUAACACUAACUGGAGGACCGAACCGACUAAUGUUGAAAAAUCUC
rnacentral:rRNA from 1 species